GCCGGCCGGGGGACGGACUG
rnacentral:snRNA from 1 species